AUGGCGGCACCGCCGCGAACAGUUACAAAAAUACUAGUAGAACAGAAGCAAAGCAACCGUAUAGACAGUAAAGAUACAACAACAAAAAAUUCGAGCAAAACUACGCAGCAUCUUUUGAGAGGUUUGAGAUUGAUUGAGGUUUUGGCCAGCAUAGGACAACAUGGUUUUGGACUGAUUUUGGGCAGAUUUGCAGUAAGAAAGUAG